GUCCCGGGGCCUCCAUGUUGGCUGCUGCCGCGGGCAGUUUGGGGGCUUUUGUCCCUGAAGGCUGGGUUUGGGGUGAAGCUGAGGAUCUGAGGACCUGCGUGCGGGUGUGGGGCGAAGGGGGAGCCCGGGCCCUGCGGACACGGUAGAGAGGCGUCGGGUUCCGUGGCGCCUGGUGGUGCGGGUGAGACGAGGGGCCCGUGGGUGCGCUCUUCAGUGGGGUUUCGCGCUGGACACAGGUCUUUGCUGGUGUGGCCAGGAUCAUACAGAAGGCUGUGGUUGUCCUGAGCCCUGAUUGAGACUGGUUGGGCCUGUGCGGAGGAGCACUGUGAAAAGGAGACCCCAGGACCCAGGUGCAGCUGCCUCAGUCCUCUCCUGCGGGAUUCCAUCACCUCUCCCCGGCACCACCAGAGUCCUCCGGCAUCUGUGAGAGCAGCAGACAAUGGAUAACUCUCUGGUCCAGCUGGGCAAGGAACCAGCACGCAGGGGAGUACAGCAAAGUUCCCUGAAGACAUAGAUAAGACAGACGUCUAUCAAAAGAUAAUGACCACCAGGAGCCACCACAAGAAUGCUGACCAAAAGGAGCCUUAUCUCGUCUCCUCAGACCUACAAACUUUAUCCCUUCACUCUCUUUCUAAAACUUCUUCCUUCUCUUCUGUAAAGGGCAUUGAUUGUUAAAUUAAAGAAACAUGAAAUCUAGUAACAAGGAUGUCUCAAAUGAAACACCAAUAAACCUUGUGUAACAACAAAAUUGUUAGUUCAAUAAUUGCUCUGUUAUAUGUUAAAAUUCCUUAGCUUUGAUCCCUAAUGAAAAAAUGGUAUUACAUAAAAAAAAAUAAGUGCACCUGUUAUAAUUAAUAAUGAUUAAUGAAUUUGGUGGUUAGCUAGGAGAAAAUGUAAUUAUAUAAAACAAAAGACAAAACUAAUGAUUUGACUGCUUAGGAAUGUGCCUAGAUCCAAAUGUAACUCUGGACAUAAAUCACUGCCUUGUCAAUGAUAAGUUAAACCUAUGAGCCAACUGCUUUAGUUCACUGAUAACCGAUCCUAUGCCUUUAGAAAAAUAUAUAUACUGGCCACUAACUUAAAUAAAAUUACACUCAGAUUUUCACUCUCUUUUUUUUUUUAAGA